AAGUGUUUUCUUUUUAAAUUCAAUAGUAUUAUUAACUUUAAGAUUCAGUGAAGUGAUAUGUCAAACAUUAUUAAAAAAUAACAAAAAUAAAAAUGCGUUUUUUACAUUUUAAAAAACUAUGGCUAUUUUACCCAAGUUUACUUUACUUAAAUAACAAUUAAAUUUAUUUUUUUCAAUAAAAAUUAAAAAAUUAUUUAGUAAAAUUUUUUCUUUAUAGCUAGUUAAAUAAUUGACCUUGAUAUUGAUUUUGACCCUCAAGGAGGUCAAGAUCAUUGACCUUUAUCGACACUUUAUUUAUUAAAAAUUUAUUAACAACCCAAUUUUUAUAAAUAGAAUGUUAUUUUUGGACACAAUUACAUUCUACUUACAUUCUAACUUUUUAAUAAAUAACGAUUCAAGUGCUAAGGGAGGUUAAUAAUGUUAAAUACUUUGAGAAAUAAAGGUAAAUUGUACUUUUGAAACAUAAAAAAACUGUUUAUUAGCAAAACACUUAAACGGAUUACAAAUCAAUAUCGAGAAAAAAUUUGAAUCAAUUAUUUAUUAUUAAAUAAAAGUAAGUCGUUUGGUUACUAGUAACUUCAAUUUUUAAAGUAGUAAAAAUCGUAUAUUGUAAAUUGGUUUGUUGAUAUGAAACUGAAUAUACAAAUGACCUUGACCUCUUUGAGAAAUCAAUAUCAAGGUCAAUAUCAAGGUCAUUUGACUGUAAAAGAAAAAAUACUUAACAAAUGUAUCCCGGAAAUAUUUACUGAAUUUUUAUUAACGUUAUUAUAAACUACUCUUUGGCAGUGAGUUAUCUUUUUUUUGGAAUUCAUUAAUGAUUAUAAUACUUUAUAAACAAAGAACAUUAACUAAAUUUUCAGUUCACUCGUUGACUGCAAUAUAGAUACGUUCCGUUUCAUGCAUAAUGAACAUAAUGCAUCACUUACCUUUAUUCACUGAAUAUUAAACAAGGCACAUAAAUGAUGCAUCAUGCACAUCAUGCGUGAAACGGAACGAACCCUGUCAAAUCACGUGCCAGCACAAUAGAAAUGACAAUUUCGAGAUAUCCUAACUGUUUUUCGCUAUAAAGAUGUUAGAAUUUAAAAUAUUGUUUUUUUGUAUAUUGAAUAUAGCUCAAUACGGAACUAAAACCUUCAUAUGGGUUUAAAAUAAAUUAGUAAUUUAAACAGGAAGAAAUUUAUAUGCUCUCAUUAGUCUCACUAGCCCUAGAUUACUUAUCCUUGGCACACAACUCCGAGAGUUUAAUAUUAUUUAUUUAUUAUAAAAUAAUCUUGAAACUAUUCAACUUUUAUUAAAAGACAUUUUUUUUAUUUUUUAUAGUUUUGACGGUAUUCGCUUCGAAAGAAAAUAAUGAACAAUAAUAAGUAAUAUCGGACUAACGAAAUUAAAACACAAGAAUAAGGAGGCUUAUGCCAGUCACAGCGGUUCCUGAUGCCAAAUAAUUUUUAUUAAUUUUUACAAGUUCCAACUCAAACUACGUGUCAUGAAACCGGAAUAGUAAUAUUAAUGUUUUUGAAAGCAUAUAUAAUAUCCCUCAUUCCUGGAAAAAUCUGUAAAGUAUUUUAUUGCGACAAAAUAACACCUCAGGGUUCGAACCUGGAUCUCUUGAAUUUCGUGCCGGCAUUCUAUCACUACUGAAGCAUGUAAAAUAAUAGACACUUUCAAAGGGCAAAGUAUCGUUUCACUCUCUUAAUGUACGAAAAUGCACUUAUAAAAAAAAUACGUGUACCUUACUUUUACUUAUAUAUUAGUUUAACAUAUCUAUAACAAAGUUUAUUAAAAUCAGAGGGGAACGGCUGUGUUUUCUUUUUAGUACAGUUUUUUUUUCUUUUAGUUUUCUAUUAGAAUAUUUAUCAGAUCAUCGUACGAUUUCUUCGUCAUAGCAACUCUUGUGAGAAUUGUAGUGUUGUUAGGCAAGAAGAGUCGAGCGUUUGAAAUUCUUGUAGGACUUGUAGGUGAUAGAUUCGUUCUUAUGGAAAAUAGUGUAUACCUACUCGUAAUAAUUAUUGCACUUUUCUAAUAUGUAAUAGAUCCAAAACAAAAUAAAAUAAAGAUUUUAAAAAUGGUGCAUAUUCGUUCAGCUUAUCAGCCGCUUGCCAGCCUCGAUAUAUCAAAGGAGAAUUAACGUACUUGACAGCAAAAUAACAUCAAUCUUUAUUGUCACUUAAUAAAUAUUAUUAAUAUAGCGCUUCAAGAAAGAUUGAUGACAUUUCCAAAAUUUCUCUUCCUUUUGUAAUGAUGUCUUGAUACUCAUUGUCAGUAAUUCGAUCAUGAUUUUUUACUAGAAAUCUUCAGGAUGCUUGACGCUAUCGGGUAAACUUCUACAAAAUAGAUUGACAAUUAACAAAAUUGCAGUUAUAAACUUAAUAUUUUAACUAAAAGAAUUUUAGUUUUUAUUAAGGUUGACAAUUAUCCGUUUAUCCGGAUAUUCGGAUAUCAGAGAUAGAGAUAAAUCCGAGAUUAAAUAUCCGAUUGAAGCGGAUAUUUUUUAGAUGAAAAAAAAUAAUCCGGAUUGAUUCGGAUAUCCGGAUCUUUAUAUUCUAUCCGAAAUAUUUGGAUAUAGAAUCUGGAUAAUAUCACUAUCCGGAUACUCGGAUAUCCAAAUAUCCAUAGAUUUGGAUGAAAUCGUCAACCCUAGUUUUUAUUAAUAACAGCUGCUGUUUUUACAGUCGAACCUCGAUAACUCGAAUUUCAAGGAAAGAACUAAACUUUUCGAAUUACAGAGGUUUCGGCUUAUCGAAAUUUUCGAGUAAAAGAGGGUAAUUUAUAAAAAUUCGACUUACGGAGGUUUUGUACAAAAGUUAAUAGUAAUUUUCCGAUUAUAAUAGCUUUUAAAGGAAAACAUUCAAUUUUUGACAAUGAAUUAUUUAUUGCACUCAAUAAUAAAUGCAAAUAUAAAGCACAUACCAGACUAUUACUCAUGGAUAUUAAAAAAAUCUGUAAAUAUAACAAUAUGUUAUUGAACUAAUACAUUGUUGAUCAAUGGCAUUUUUAACGAUAAUCAAAGCAAUACGUUGGCCUUUAUAUUAUUACAGCAAUAUUUUUCUAUAAAAUUUUAUAGAACGUUUAUUCAUUUUACACAAAAUAAAUGCAAAGGUACUUAAAGACGCGAAAAUCGAAAUUAUGCGUUCGUUUAACGACAAACGCGUGGCUUGCUUGGACAUGCACGGUUAAAUGAUGGGGAGGUAGAGCUGCGACAAGUGUCGCCGUAUUUUUUUCAGUGAUAUUAUAACACAGCUACAAUCAUGAGGAAUGAUCUCUGUUCUUCAUGGCUACAAUCUACAACUUUGAUUUAUAAAGGCAGCGACAAUAGAAACUUGACUUAUAGAGAUAAACUUCGACAUGUAGAGGUUUGUUUACUUUAAAUUCGAGUUACAAAGGUAAAAUAAUCUAAUAAAUAAUUUGAGUUAAGGUGGAGGUUUUAUUUCGACUUACAUAGAAAUUUUCCGCAGCGGAGCGAAAGGGAAUGAACAACGUUUUUAUUUUAUAGAGGUUCGACUGUGAUUUAUUUUGCAAAGAUUCACUCGAUGUUACCUGAAGAUUUUUAGAUAAAAAUCAUAAUAAUUGAAUUACUGAUGGCCGAGUUAUCAAAAUGUUGAUCUUCCAAAAAUGGAGAAUACUUUAGUUACAUAUUUAUAGAAAUAUUUGUCAGUAAUAAAAUGUCUUUCUGUUCUUUAUAUGUUAUACAAAACUUUUUUAAAACUUUAUCUUCGUUCAUUUAUUUAGCUCGUCAAAAAAUUAUCAAAGAUUUUCGAGCGAUCUAGACCUACAAUCUUUUUAAUUUAAUUGAGACUUUGUUUCAAUCAGUUAUAUGAAAAAUAUUUAAAAUCAUCUUUUCUCUGGAAAGAUCGAGCGAAUAAAAAGUUGCGAAAUACUGUACGUUUAUAAAUAAGCACAGAUGAAGAAACGGAGGCAAUGUUUACUGGAAAAUUUAUUUGUGCUUUUGUAGUUAUAUUUCUUGUAACAUAACUUAAACUCACGAAGGUGAAGAAGUUACGACAUCGUAAUUCGAAGUUGGCUACAAUAAUAAAUCCAUACGUUCCCAAGCAAUAUGUUCUUGGAUCACAGUUUACGGUUGAUGCUAUAGCGAAGGAAAGCGCAACUGUUUAUUAGAAAUUUAUAUGACGGACAAAAUAUCUCCGUCCGUAUGCGAAGUGCUUUAUGCUUCCCCGGAGUAUUCUUCGGCGUACAUCGAUAAAUAAUAAAGUUUUAACCGCUACUCAAACACAAAGUUAUCUGAACUUUGUUAAUCUAAUUUUAAUAAUUUUGUAAUUAUUACAAAUUAUCAGAAUUUAGAUUACUCAUUUUUUCUUUUUUGCAAUUAAGCUACAAAAUGUGUUGAAAAAUAGCAGGAAAGUUACGAUUUUUCUAUAAAUAUUAAUAACAAAAUUUCUGUUGCUCCUAACAUGUUGAGUUCAAUGAAGAAUGAUAAUAAUGUUAUGUAAUUUCGAAAUAAUUUCACCGAAAAGUACAAGUACUGCCGAAUUUAUACGCGAGGUGGUGCGAUUUAGGAGCCGGUGCGAUAUCGAUAACCUUACGCCCUAUCUGGUGGAAAUGCUUUAUCAUGAAUUACCACUGGGACAGACAGUCACAAGAGAUCGCUGUCAACAACUCAACAAUUAUGGCAUUUGAAUCAAGCGUUGAAGGAAAAAUGCCGUCAAAAGGGAAAUACUCGCAAAUUGACGCAAAGUCUUUCUGCUUCAUGACAACGUUAGACCGCAUGUCGCUGUGUAACGAAAGAGACGUCGAGUCAGAUUAGGAAGUCCUGCCGUAUCUAACGUAUUCCCCAGAUAUCGUCCUGUCUAAUUUUCAUCUAUUCAGAUCGAUGCAGCACAGUC